CGGGUACUGCCUCGUACGAGCCUUCGGAAAAUCCCUGAGGCUAUUCAUUCCUAAUGGGAGCUGUCCCUGCCCGGACCCUGGUCCGGAUCAUACGGCGCCCACCUGACGUUUUGGCGUCAGAGGAUUUUAGGGCAAACGGCCAAUGGUGGUCCCGUC
rnacentral:other from 1 species